rnacentral:rRNA from 1 species
AGAGUUUGAUUAUGGCUCAGAAUCAACGCUGGCGGCGUGCCUAACACAUGCAAGUCGAGCGAGAAAAGGGGGGCAACUCCCUGAGUACAGCGGCGCACGGGUGAGUAACACGUGGGUAAUCUGCCCUGAAGUGGGGAAUAACACCGGGAAACCGGUGCUAAUACCGCAUACGAUCACGAGGUCUGCGGAUUUUGUGAUGAAAGGAGCAAUUCGCUUUAGGAGGAGCCCGCGGCUGAUUAGCUAGUUGGUGAGGUAAUGGCUCACCAAGGCAACGAUCAGUAUCCGGUCUGAGAGGACGGUCGGACACACUGGAACUGAGACACGGUCCAGACUCCUACGGGAGGCAGCAGUGGGGAAUUUUUGGCAAUGGGGGGCCAACCCUGACCAAGCAACGCCGCGUGGGUGAUGAAGUCUCUUGGGACGUAAAACCCUUUCGACGGGGAAGAAACCGCAAGGUUGACGGUACCCGUAGAAGAAGCCCCGGCUAACUCCGUGCCAGCCGCAGC